rnacentral:rRNA from 1 species
GACGAACGCUGGCGGCGUGCUUAACACAUGCAAGUCGAACGGAAAGGCCCCUUCGGGGGUACUCGAGUGGCGAACGGGUGAGUAACACGUGAGUAACCUGCCCUUGACUUCGGGAUAACUUCAGGAAACUGGGGCUAAUACCGGAUAGGAAUCCUUGCUGCAUGGUGGGGGUUGGAAAGCUUCGGCGGUUUUGGAUGGACUCGCGGCUUAUCAGCUUGUUGGUGGGGUAGUGGCUUACCAAGGCUUUGACGGGUAGCCGGCCUGAGAGGGCGACCGGCCACAUUGGGACUGAGAUACGGCCCAGACUCCUACGGGAGGCAGCAGUGGGGAAUAUUGCACAAUGGGCGGAAGCCUGAUGCAGCAACGCCGCGUGCGGGAUGACGGACUUCGGGUUGUAAACCGCUUUCAGCAGGGGCGAAGCUUGUGGUGACGGUACCUGCAGAAGAAGCACCGGCUAACUACGUG